rnacentral:lncRNA from 10 species
ACUGGGGGAGGAAGAGAGGUGACAGAGUGGAGGAGGUGAAUGGGGAAGGAACCAACACUCCAAGACUGUCUGGAGAGGAGAAAAAGGUCUCUGAGAACUUCCUAGAGCCUCGUGAGGUCAGAACGAUUGUUAUCCCAGUAUACAGAGAAGAAGAAGGCUCAGAGAGGUUCAGCAGGAAGCAGAGUAUGAAUAAAGAGCAGAAUGAUUCUGCCAGAGCUCCUCUCCCUCUGAGCUGGACAGUGAGGACUCCAGGAGCCGAGAGCCUUGUGGAAGUGAGAAGGGGGAGUCUUACUGAGCCAUGGACAUUUGAGCUCUAGGGCAGCCCCUACCCUCAGCCUGGGGAUACCCAACAAACGCUUCCAAGCCCUGAGACUCCAUGACUCGCUGGGAGUGUGGAAUUGAGUCUUAUUCUGUUGCCCAGGCUGGAGUGAAGUGGCGCGAUCUCGGCCCACUGCAACCUUCACCUCCCGAGUUCGAGCGAUUCUUGUGCCUCAGCCCCCGGAGUAGCUGGGACAAAAAUCUUUAACUGUGAUUAAAAACACAUAU